CCUGAGCAAUGGCGGGCGCCCCUCCCCCAGCCUCGCUGCCGCCUUGCAGUUUGAUUUCAGACUGCUGUGCUAGCAAUCAGCGAGACUCUGUGGGCGUAGGACCCUCCGAGCCAGGUGUGGGAUAUAAUCUCGUGGAACGCCGUUUUUUAAGCCGGUUGGAAAAGCGCAGUAUUCACGUGGGAGUGACCCGAUUUUCCAGUGAGAUGAACCCGGUACCUCAGAUGGAAAUGCAGAAAUCACCAUCUUCUGAGUCGCUCACGCUGGGAGCUGUAGACCGGAGCUGUUCCUAUUCGGCCAUCUUGGCUCCUCGCCCCCAGUUUUGGUAUCGACUUCAAUAUUAUAAAGAUUCUAAACAACCCAAGAGCAUAUAUGUUGCCCAUAUCCAAGGAAGAAUCAAGAUUAUCAAGACUAGCAACAAAGACUCCAAGCAAAGGCUACCAAGAAACCUCAUGAAGUGAAACAGGACUUUGAGAAGUUCCUACAUAAACUGCGUUCUGAAGCUGAAAUUGAGAGAGAAUGUGUGGCAUCGCUAUCGUCAUCAUCACCAUCAUCAACAGACAACUACAACUUUGAGGAAGAAGAAUACUAAGAGAAAUCAGAAAUGAACUCUAUUCAAGAAUAAUGCAUACAAUUCAGUGGUAUCAAUUUAAUUGUAACAAUAUAUUUAAUUCAAGUCCAAUCCAUGUAAUCAGUAUUAAGAGUGUGUUUUACCAUUCAUCUUUAAAAUCUUCAAAUCAAUAAAUCUCAGUAAAUUAUUCUUAAAAGAUCUGUCCAAGCAUGAUCUUGGCUCUUAAUAGUAAAACCAUAUUUUAAGAUGGAAAAAUAAUCAUUAUGAAGCAUAGAGAGCUUUCAAUGAUUUCUUUGAAAAUAUAUCUUGAUAUAAUAGCAACCGUUCAUCAUAAUACAAAACAGAAGGAAGAUUAAUUUACUGUGGCACAGAAAGUCCUGCCAAUUCCUAAGUGCCCUAAGUAGUUUCUCUCAGAUUUUUUACAUUUUUUCAGGCCUCAAGGAAAACCAAAGCCCCACCUCCAGGUUUGGUAGCAAACAAACUUUGCUUCUCCGGUGCUAAGCUUCCAUCACUCCUCUGGUAAUAAGCUUUGUGCACAUUUGCUAGAAAGCUGGGCAGCUUGUCCGCAGGUACUAUUGAUACUGUGCAGCCUCCCCAUCCUGCUCCAGUAAGUCGUGACCCUUGAGCCCCAAACUUCCUAAAACAAUGAGGAAAAAAAUAUUAGAACCUAUACAUGAAAAUACAAGUGAUUUGCUUGGUGUUUGUAGAACACAUAGCCUAUCUAAGUUCUAAGAAGAAAAUACAUGCGGGGUUUUUAGGUGUCAUCAAACAUUUUAGGACAUUAAGACAUUUAUACUGUUUCAGAGAGUGAUUUGGAAUUUUUUCAUUCUAUCUAAAUCUAGUCCCUGGUUUUGACUCCAAGUGGUAAGUCAACAGUACUCCUCCCAUUUCAUGACUGGCAAUAACCCACUGUAAUAUUGAUUCCAUAAAGUAGCCACUUGAAGAGUUGUAUAGCAAGCUUACAGGUAAAUCAGGAAGGAGGCGUUAAGAUAAAACAGGCAAUGGUAAAAGAAAUGUAGGCAACCCUGAACCAGAAGGUCACUCCAAAUGAGGACAAAUCAAAAUUUAAAAUGUACAGUCUUAUACAAGUUUUCCCCAAUGGCUAUUUCAGCUGCAUUCUUAAGGCCAGGCUGUUUCACAAAGAAGAAUCAGUCCCCUAGAACAGAUAGCCUAGUUCACUGAAUAAACUUACUUACUUAUCAACAAAAAGCUUGUUAUUAAACUCCAGGUUGGGUCGGUGGUUGGUUGAAUCUCUAAUGGAAAAUUAACCAAGCCUUUCCACAAAGCGGAGGGCAGUCCCUAGAGGUCCACACCACCUUCCCUGUGCCUUCUGGAGCUAGUCUGAUUAUUGGACUCAGAAGUUGACAUCAGAUGAGAUAUAUCUGAUUGGGGUGGCAACAACUAUAUAAAGGACCACACAGCUAGAAUUAAUUUUAGUUACUGUAAACCAGGCACAGUUUCAAACCUAAGAUUUCAACCAAAGUGAAAGGCCCUAUCACAAUGUACACAGAUCACUUAGCUUUAAAAGAUGCAAUUUAUCCUGACACGAAAGUUAACACGUACUUACAAUUAAUUCUUCUUAAUAAAAUUCACUCCAAAUUACUAGUGGAUUAAAGGCUCUAUGAUUAAUUUAGCAC
rnacentral:sRNA from 1 species